rnacentral:rRNA from 1 species
GAUGAACGCUGGCGGCGUGCCUAAUACAUGCAAGUCGAGCGAACAGACGAGGAGCUUGCUCCUCUGACGUUAGCGGCGGACGGGUGAGUAACACGUGGAUAACCUACCUAUAAGACUGGGAUAACUUCGGGAAACCGGAGCUAAUACCGGAUAAUAUUUUGAACCGCAUGGUUCAAUAGUGAAAGACGGUUUUGCUGUCACUUAUAGAUGGAUCCGCGCCGCAUUAGCUAGUUGGUAAGGUAACGGCUUACCAAGGCGACGAUGCAUAGCCGACCUGAGAGGGUGAUCGGCCACACUGGAACUGAGACACGGUCCAGACUCCUACGGGAGGCAGCAGUAGGGAAUCUUCCGCAAUGGGCGAAAGCCUGACGGAGCAACGCCGCGUGAGUGAUGAAGGUCUUCGGAUCGUAAAACUCUGUUAUUAGGGAAGAACAAAUGUGUAAGUAACUAUGCACGUCUUGACGGUACCUAAUCAGAAAGCCACGGCUAACUACGUG